CUGCUGCCUUCCGUAGGAGUUUGGGCCGUGUCUCAGUCCCAAUGUGGCCGUCCGCCCUCUCAGGCCGGCUACUGAUCGUCGCUUUGGUAGGCCGUUACCCUGCCAACUGGCUAAUCAGACGCGGGUCCAUCAUAUACCACCGGAGUUUUUCACACCGGGGCAUGCGCCCCUGUGCGCUUAUGCGGUAUUAGCACCUAUUUCUAAGUGUUAUCCCCCUGUAUAUGGCAGGUUACCCACGCGUUACUCACCCGUCCGCCACG
rnacentral:rRNA from 1 species